UACCAAAACAACAUUACUGCAAUGAAUGAAAACACAUUUACUGGUUUGAAAAGCUUAAAGCUUAUGUUUCUAUCUCGCAACAGCAUAACCACAAUAGAGGAUAACACGUUCAAUGAUCUGACAAACUUAGAGAAACUGUAUCUAAUCGGCAACAGCAUAACCACAAUAGAGGAUAAAGCGUUCAAUAAUCUA